rnacentral:rRNA from 1 species
UACGUAGGGUGCGAGCGUUAAUCGGAAUUACUGGGCGUAAAGUGUGCGCAGGCGGCCGCGCAAGUCGAGUGUGAAAGCCCCGGGCUUAACUUGGGAAUUGCGCUCGAAACUACGUGGCUGGAGUAUGGCAGAGGAAGGUGGAAUUCCACGUGUAGCGGUGAAAUGCGCAGAUAUCAGGAGGAACACCGGUGGCGAAGGCGGGUCUCUGGGCCGAUACUGACGCUGAGGAGCGAAAGCGUGGGGAGCGAACAGG